UGGUGGAGUGAUUUGUCUGGUUAAUUCCGUUAACGAACGUGACCUUAACCUGCUAAAUAGCUACAUUUGACAUUUUGUCAGAUGGACAGCUUCUUAGAGGGACUAUGUGUUUUUAACUCAUGGAAGUUUGAGGCAAUAACA
rnacentral:rRNA from 1 species